GUUCCCAGGCUAGGGAUCCAAUUGGAGCUGCAGCUGCCAGCCUACACCACAACCACAGCAAUGCCAUAGCUCUGGUGUGGGUCGCCACAUAUGUGACCCACACCACAGCUAGCAGCAACGCUGGAUCCCUAACCCACUGAGCUUGGCCAGGGAUUGAACCUGAGUCCUCAUAGAUCCUGGUCGGGUUCAUUACUGCUGAACAACAGCAGGAACUCUGGUUCUACUGCUUUUAGUCUCAGUUUCUUUAGGUAUAAACUGGGGGCAAAAUACUCCCCAUCUCACCGGUUGUCAUUAGAGUUAAAGGCGAUGCUCGUAAGAAAGAUCUGAAAAUAGUAAAGUGUCCAAGACACUUCCUGACCGGUGUAGCUCCUGCGGGGGAUGCUUGGGUGGGGAGGGAGGAUUUUUUAGCCCUUUGAGGUUUUACAGGAGUAAAGACUCCUAUGACUUCCAGCUUCACAGAGGUAUCUGCUGGGGGCAGUUAGAUACAGUUCUGGGAUAGCAGAGUUGGAAGGGACCCUGGAGAGUCCACACCGAAGCCCAAGAGAGGCAGAAUACCAGGAGUGCUUGCCACGCCACAGACACGAAUGUCCACCCCUGAAUCAGAAGGCCCACUGGGGAGAAAUUUUCUAAUUGUUGGGCGGAGCACUCAAAUUGUGCCAGAGUGGGCUGUGAGCAAGACUUCCCUAGCCCGUCAAUCAAUAGGGAAUUGUGGGAGUGGAUCCUGGGUAGAGAUUGGCAGCCCCCGCCCUCGCCCUCCGCCCCUCGACACAGACUCAAAGGUAGAGGAUGGAGUCCAGCCCCUCCCCUACAGCUCCCCCCUGAAUCUAGAGGCGAGAGUGGUCCCACCGCUGUCAAGUCACUCCUCCCUGAGGCCAGUUUUCCCCACGAAGUUCACCAAGGGGCUUAGCUGGAUGAGAACAAGAAGAGCUCUAUAGAUUUUCAAGGUGCUAAGAAGAAAGCUUCUAGACAUAUUUCAAAUGUCAAGUUUCUGAGACUUCAAUAAGAAAGUUGCAGUGGAAGGAAAUUUGGACCAAAGGACUGGUGUCCCGUUUAUGAACUUCAGACGGAGUGACUUGGGAAAUUAUUCUAACCUCGCUGAGCCUCAGCUUACUCAUCUGAGAAAUGGAGAAGAGGGCCCCAGCCCAUUUUAGUCACAGGGGCUGUGGCUGCCACCAAGUGACAUCAUGAAAUGGAAAGGUUACUCAUUUGCAGACACUCGCCUCAGCCCUAUAGGCUGACUACAAGCUGCAGCGAACAAUCGUUGUGGAAAACAGCAAGUUCAGGCUGUUUGGAUGAAUAAGUGGGAGGUCAGCCCUCUGGGGAAAUGCAGCAUCUCCACACACAACUCCAGUGCCAGGUAGAGUCCGAGGAUCCUGUCAACUGAUAGAACAACUGCAGUUCAACCAAUAGCUGACAAUGCAUCAAUCUGUCCGAGCCUCCGAGAUUCACCAUGCCUGGAAACUAUAUAUUGAUUAAAAUGAAAUAUGCACGUCAUUAGUUAGAUCCCGAGAAUCUGUAAUGAUCUGCUUGUCUCUUCCCUCUCCCCGCCUCUAACAUUGUUCCUGUGACCUGGGUCAGCUGCCGGGAAACCCGGACUCUGAUGUUACCACCUCCCCCCGUGCAGGGCACCGUGCUCUUAUUUAUUACUUUCAUUUCAUGCAUCGGCUGUGCCUCCUCCCUUGUGCUCACCUCUGCUGUGGUCUUGGCUCUAGUCCAGACUUGGCUCUGGACUCAGCCUCUCUCAUCUGCCUUUUCCAGAAUCAGAUCUAUGGAUGUGGGGCCAGCUGGGGGUCAGCUGCGCUGAGGGAGAGGACGAGAGACCCUAUGAUACCCCACGUCCACGCCACCCUUCUUCGUAGACAGGGUUUCGGCCAGCCUGAGCCCUGUAGUGAAGCCGAUUGUCCAGAUCCUUCCAGAAGAAAUGCUCAUAAGGAAAUGUCUGGAAAAACCUCAAGCAAAUAAAACUCCAUCACUCCUCAGGUGCUGGGCUCUGCUGGCCUCAGAUCUGAAACCAUCCCCCUUCAAGGUGGGGACCUGUGAUUUGUACUUGACUCUUCAGGUUGUGGAAGGCUGGCCAAGCAGGCCCACUGAUUCCAGGGUCUCUCCUGGAUUUUCAAACUCCAGUCCCCUCUAGCAGCACAGAGGAAAGAGGCCUUCCCUCACCAUGCCUGCUUCUCCCUCGUGGUGCCCAUAACCUGCCAUUUUUUCUUCUAUGAGGAGCAGUAAAGAGAUUAAUCUCAGGAGUUCCCGUCACGGCUCAGUGAUUAACGAAUCCGACUAGGAACCAUGAGGUUGCAGGUUUGAUCCCUGGCCUUGCUCAGUGGAUUAAGGAUCCAGUGUUGCCAUGAGCUGUGGUGUAGGUUGCAGAGGCGUCUCGGAUCUGGUAUUGCUGUGGUGUAGGCCAGCGGCUACAGCUCCAAUUAGACCCCCAGCCUGGGAACCUCCACAUGCAUCAGGAGCGGCCUAAGAAAUGGCAAAAAGACAAAAAAAAAAAAGAUGAAUCUCAGCUCUACUGGCUAUUCACUGCAUGCCUUUGGUAAGUUACUGCACCUUCUUGUGCCCCGUUUCCUCAUCCA
rnacentral:lncRNA from 9 species